AACGAACGCUGGCGGCAUGCCUAACACAUGCAAGUCGAACGAGACCUUCGGGUCUAGUGGCGCACGGGUGCGUAACGCGUGGGAACCUGCCCUUAGGUUCGGAAUAACUCCCCGAAAGGGGUGCUAAUACCGGAUAAUGUCUUCGGACCAAAGAUUUAUUGCCUUUGGAUGGGCCCGCGUUGGAUUAGGUAGUUGGUAGGGUAAAAGCCUACCAAGGCGACGAUCCAUAGCUGGUCUGAGAGGAUGCUCAGCCACACUGGGACUGAGACACGGCCCAGACUCCUACGGGAGGCAGCAGUAGGGAAUAUUGGACAAUGGGCGAAAGCCUGAUCCAGCAAUGCCGCGUGAGUGAUGAAGGCCUUAGGGUUGUAAAGCUCUUUUACCCGGGAUGAUAAUGACAGUACCGGGAGAAUAAGCACCGGCUAACUCCGUG
rnacentral:rRNA from 1 species